CGGAAGCGUCAGAUGAGAUUUGCACUCUCAACUCUUCUGACCUUCGGAUUGGGAAAGAAAAGCCUGUAGCCAUCCAUCCAUUUUGAAUGUACCUGUCUGAAUGAGGCCUUUUCAAAUGAACAAGGUCGACCAUUUGACCCUCGCUUACUGCUGAACAAUGUUGUCGCAAAUGUGAUCUGUGUGCUUGUGUUUGGUAAUCGAUUUGACAAUCGAGUGACAAUGACUUCCAGUCUCUGUUGAGGAACAUCAAUGAGGCUUUAUAUCUAGAAGGAAGCGUCUGGGCUCAACUGUAUAACAUGUUCCCAUGGCGCAUGCGGCGAGUACCUGGACCACACCACAGAAUAUUUCUUCUCGU